GUGUCAGCAGCCGCGGUAAUACGUGGGGUGCAAGCGUUGUUCGGAAUUACUGGGCGUAAAGCGCGUGUAGGCGGCCAAACGGGUCCGGUGUGAAAGCCCUCGGCUUAACCGAGGAAGUGCGCCGGAAACUAUUUGGCUAGAGUGCAGGAGAGGAGGACGGAAUUCCCAGUGUAGAGGUGAAAUUCGUAGAUAUUGGGAGGAACACCGGCGGCGAAAGCGGUUCUCUGGACUGUAACUGACGCUGAGACGCGAAAGCGUGGGGAUCAAACAGGAUUAGAAACCCCCGUAGUCC
rnacentral:rRNA from 1 species